GAGAAAAUGUCACGGUCAGGAGGAGCCUCAGCAGAGCUGGUGACUAAUGGUAACGUGGCCUCUGGGAUGGGAUGGCAAACAGAAAAGGGGCAUCAGGGAAAGACUAAGGAGACCCACAACAGUGUGUCAGUGACUGCUCAUUAUUUGUGACAACUGUAUCAUAGCAACAUGGGGUGUUAGCAACAGGGCCACCUGGGCCACCUGCGCGUGGGGUACACGUCAACUCUAAUAUCCUGGCAACUUCUCGGUACAUCGACAACGACUCUAAAAUUUAAAAGUUUAUCUUAAGAGCUGUACAGACGAUUCUGAGGCCCAGACAGAGACAGCUGUAUUAUGUAGAAGAUACUGAAGACAAUAAAAUAAUGAGCCGUCAGCGUGCCGAGAUGACCAGGGACACAGCUGACAAGAAGACAAAGUGAAAACGAAGCGUUUCCACUGCUGCGUGACUUCGGGCGAGUGACUCAACCUCUCUGCCUCGGUUUCCUCGUUUGCAGAAGGGGCACAAAAAGAAUCCCAAUUGUGGAGGCUGAUGAUGGCAAGUGCUUAGACUAGUACCUGGUACCAACUGGGUGUGCGGUUGGUUACAGGAGUCACUAGGAGACCCGGCCGAGGAGAAGAGCUAAGAGCUCCGGGUUUGAAGUCUGGCUGCCCCAGUUACCAAGUCUGUGACCCGGCAGGCGAGUGCCCAGUCUCCAUAGCCUGUGGGCCCCUCUUCCUCCUGUGUAAAGUCAGGGGAGGCUCCCUGCGGUGGAAGGAGCUGCAGAGAGGAUGGAACAGACCUUUCCAUGCGGAGCGCUCAGUGCAGGGCCUUGAACACAUCGGCACGCCAGCUGCAGUCAGAGGCCAAGGUCAGAAAAGCAGCAGCCUGGCCAGAGGCAGGGGCCCUGGGUCACAGACCAGUGCAUCGUGUCUCCCUCACCUGGCUGGUGGGGAUGCGAAGACUGUCCUACCUACUUUACAGGGAUGGCGUGAAAUCAGUGAGGCCCGACGUGGCAGGGCACGUCUCAGAGAGACUGAAUGGUUGUCUCUCCGACUCCACUCCUCAGCCCUCAUUCUGAGCAGGUCACCAGGUCACAAAACUCCCAACUUCAAGAAUAUUGCUUCGAGUGGGAAGCAGAGCCCGUCAGAGGACUGAGUGGAAGCUUCAGGCUGUUAGAGAGGUCAUUUUAGGGGAAGGGAAGGAGCAUCUCUGAGAAGCAGAGCGGGGCCGGCUCUCCAGAAGGAGAAAGGAAGAAGCCGUGAGUCCGAGAGCAGCCGGCAGCCGCGUGCACUGCCACACACUGUGGUGCCAAGGGGGUGGGGUGGGCACGGGCUCACCCACCGCCCUGGCAAAGAGGCCCAGUCCUGUGGCAGAACUGGGGUGCUGGCCUCGAAGGCCCAGUGGGUGUGGGGCUGAGGAGGCCUGUGGGACCAGAGGGGAGCGGUCCUGCCUGUUCUCCUGGCCCCUCCUACCCCCCAAAGCCAUCCUGCCCCUGAUGCGAGCCUGGAGCCUGGGGCUGGGAAGGGACGCCAGUCAUUCCGAAGGACAACCCGUCCACUCCAGUGGGCAGGGCUCGCAAUUAGAAUGAGGUCGAUUUAAAGAUAACCAAGAACAGGACGUUUCCUGAAUAACCGUGCUGCCGGGCUGACAUUUGAGUCUCUUACACACGGAGUCCAGUUUUAAGUGUGGAGUGCCAGAAACACAGUACAUGACACGGUUAUUAAUUACCUAAUUGUUGUGGUAUAAAAAUGCUUAGCUGGAGGGAACAGGAAAGGUUCGCCAGGGCCAGAAGGGUUUGGGCCGCAGCCCCUGAGAUCUGGCUUACCUCUUAGCAGGGUUGGUUGGGCCCUGAGGGGAGAGCCGCGGAAGGCCCUGGAACCCUGGCCUUGACUAUUGAGGUGAAACCAUUUCCUUGCCCUUCAGCUGCCCCCACACUUCCCACGACUGUGGCCUGCUGGACCUCCCUGAGGUUCCUGGACCCUUCCCUGUCCUCGGGGGUCCAGCGCCUAGGCCCGGGGCGCUCUCACAGUUCUGGGUGGACAACGGGAGAGGAAGACACAGAGGGAACCCCGGAGCCUGGACAUCGGGGCUCAGCCCGGCUUCCGGAGAGCUUUCCCAGCUGCUUCCUCUUGACGGCAGAGAAAGGGAGCGGCCACCGGGACACCACGGUCUCCAGAACCUUCCGCCCUCGCCAGGAACCUCGCACAUCUUUCUUUCACUCCUCAGUGCUUGGCCUGGACAUCAGUGAGGACCCACCUCAGAAGAGGGGUGGAACCAUCCCCUUUCAGUGUUGGGGAACUGAAGCCCCUUGUGAUUUGGGGACACAUUCUAAUCAUGAAUGGUAAUUUGGGGCCAGGGCACUGGGCCUCCCCUCUUGAGCUCCGUCUCCUGCCACCCAAGUUCGGAAGAUGGUUCCAGGGAGGCCCUCACUACCCCAGUGGAAGCCCAGCCGGCUCAGCGGGGAGACGGCUGUGAGAUACAGAAUGAACAC